UCGCUUGAAGUUACCAUAACAGUGCAUUGUGAAUUGUUGUCUAUCGAAAUGGCGAUUCAUCAUAUCAGUAGCUUCUUUAUUGGUUGAUGAUGCUCCUUACUUCGUGUAUGGAAUGGUAUCGACAUGUUGAAUGGACAUCGCAUAACGGCAUAUGUACGUAUGAACAUUUACAUUGAAGUGAUUGCACUAUAAAAAUGGACUACAUUCUACGAAGAUGGAAAACAAGCAAGUGGAUAAACACGAUCUAUAUCUUGUGGUUUGUAAGUUGAGUAGAUAUAAGUGUUAAAAUUAACUUGUAUGAGUAACUGCAUGAGAUAGUUAAAAAGGAUCCUGAUGGUCUAUCUUUAUAAUUUGAAACUUAACCAUGAAAAACACCCAACUUAAAAAUAGUGUCAAUAAAAGAUGUCACUUGCUGUGAGAAAAUAGCUGGCUUUCACUCGCUACUUUUUAGUAAUUUAAUUUAACGUUUAUUAAGAAAAUUGCAAUGAUGCAAGUAGGGUUCAUUGAAUUACUAAGAUAAAAAUUUUACAAUUAAUUUCAACAAUACAACGUAAAAACUACGCGGUGAAAAAAAGGAAGAGACCGACCAAGUCGCCUGGAUCAAACUGACCAGGACAACCCUUGGAAAUCAGAGUAGCUAUGUCUGUAGGCCUUCUAACUGGACAAUGAAUGAACGACGAAGUCGGGCAGAAACACCAGGAAACAAGCGUCGUUAUUAUAAGAUGCACACUUGCUAAUUUAUUUAUCCAUAAUGUCUAUCAGUAUAACGUAUUUUCAAAUUUGACCGUUAAAAAUUUCCGAAUAACUAAAUGUUCACAAUUAUUUAAUUUUCUGACAAAACACA